ACAAAUUGGCAUAUCAACCUGCAGCCUAAGACUGCUUACUUAUUAAGGCUAAGCAGGGCUGAACCUGGUUAGUACCUCAAUAGCAGACCACAUGGGAAACUAGGAACGGUUGGAC
rnacentral:rRNA from 1 species